GCCCCGAUAGCUCAGUGGAUAGAGUGACGGCCUCCGAAGCCGUAGACGGGAGUUCGACUCUCCCUCGGGGUA
rfam:Chloroflexi bacterium RIFCSPLOWO2_12_FTLL_71_12 rifcsplowo2_12_scaffold_26095, whole genome shotgun sequence.